CCAUUAUAGCAUUUUUCCACUAGAUAUUCUAGUGAGACAUGCUCUGCCUGGUGAUUGUAGUCAUGUUAAUUGGGGAAAGUAUAGAUUCUUUUUAGCACAUGUAUCCUUUUCCUUUUUGGUUUUGGCUUACAGUUCAUCUGAUGCUUACCCUUGCCUUUCCAGCAGAGCAAUAAGAGUGCUGGUUCAAAGCCUGCAAAACCUGCAGGAUCAAAAGCAUCCACCAGCAACCAUGCACCAAAAGUCACAAAUGGGGUAAUACAUCAAUCAGUGCAAUUUCUCCAACACUUCUUGUGGGUGGGUGGGGGGGGGGGGGGAGGGGGGGGGGUUGAAAAGACCUACAAUUUCGUUGAAUCCCAUGCAGAUUUAGCUAACUAAAGAUAGGACACAAUGAAAGGGAAAAUCUAUUAGCUGAUAUCAACUGGUUAAAAAUGUGCUCUAGUCAUGUAAGUACUAUGUUAUUUACGUCGAUGCUCUUCUACGAUUAUUUUAGUCGCAUAUUAAGGUCAUCACAGCUUUAGCUUCCACUUCCAUCCACACUAAUAGAAUGAUGUAACCCAUUAUAGCAUUUUUCCACUAGAUAUUCUAGUGAGACAUGCUCUGCCUGGUGAUUGUAGUCAUGUUAAUUGGGGAAAGUAUAGAUUCUUUUUAGCACAUGUAUCCUUUUCCUUUUUGGUUUUGGCUUACAGUUCAUCUGAUGCUUACCCUUGCCUUUCCAGCAGAGCAAUAAGAGUGCUGGUUCAAAGCCUGCAAAACCUGCAGGAUCAAAAGCAUCCACCAGCAACCAUGC
rnacentral:lncRNA from 1 species